GCCGGGCACGGUGGUGCAGGCCUGUAAUCCCAGAGGCUCUGGAGGCUGAGGCAGGAGGAUUUCAAGUUCAAGGCCAGCCUCAGCAACUUAGUGAGGCCCUAAGCAACUCAGUGAGACCCUGUCUCUA
rnacentral:sRNA from 1 species